UACGUACCGUACGAACGUUAUUCGGAAUUACUGGGCUUAAAGGGUUUGUAGGCGGCCUUGUAAGUCAGGUGUGAAAUCCCUCGGCUCAACCGAGGAAUAGCGCUUGAUACUGCAUGGCUUGAGGGAGACAGGGGUAAGCGGAACUGAUGGUGGAGCGGUGAAAUGCGUUGAUAUCAUCAGGAACACCGGUGGCGAAAGCGGCUUACUGGGUCUCUUCUGACGCUGAGGAACGAAAGCUAGGGGAGCGAACGGG
rnacentral:rRNA from 1 species